rnacentral:rRNA from 1 species
UACGUAGGGUGCAAGCGUUGUCCGGAAUUAUUGGGCGUAAAGAGCUCGUAGGCGGUUUGUCGCGUCUGCUGUGAAAACUCGGGGCUUAACUCCGGGCCUGCAGUGGGUACGGGCAGACUAGAGUGCGGUAGGGGAGACUGGAAUUCCUGGUGUAGCGGUGAAAUGCGCAGAUAUCAGGAAGAACACCAAUUGCGAAGGCAGCUUACUACACAGUUAUUGACGCUGAGGCACGAAAGCGUGGGGAUCAAACAGG